AACUGACAAAAACAAGACAAGUACAGAAGUAAAGACGUUUGAAUCAGUGUUUUUCCAUUCUUUAUCUGGAUCUAAAAGCUCUAAAAGGAAUUGCAGAGAACAGGCUCCGAAAAGCAACACCCAGGGUUUUCAGCAAAAUGAACCUCCGUUCAAGAAUCAGUUUAUUAAGAGUGCACUGAGAGGACCUGAAAACCCAAAACAGCAGUCACUGC